rnacentral:lncRNA from 1 species
UUUUGAGGGUUGCACCCAUGGUAUAUGCAGUUUCCCAGGCUAGGGGUCUAAUAGGAGGUAUAGCUGCCGGCCUACACCACAGCCAUGUCAGAUCCAAGCCACGUCUACGACCUACACCACAGCUCACGGCAAUGCCAGAUCCUUGACCCACUGAGAGAAGCCAGGGAUUGAACUUGCAUCCUCAUGGUUCCUAGUCAGAUUUGUUUCUGCUGCACCACAAUGGGAAUUCCAGGUUUGGGUUUUAAUGCCCACAUAGGGAAAGGGGAAGCCUUAGGAUCCAAACAAGAUAGGGAACAGAGAAUGAGAUAGUCUCUAAUAACAUCUGGAUCCUUAAAGGACUAUACUUCAGUAAAAGGUGAUCUAGGGGGAAAAUCCACUUACUGUAAGAGAGAGAAAACCUAAGAAAUUGUUUUACAUAAAGCCCUGUGUGGAGGAAGAUUAUGCCUUUUUAUUUAUAAGCAGCCUCACACAGGUUGGGAAUUUGAAAUUACACUACUACAUGAUCCAAGAAACCUUUAACCAAUAAAACAUCAGGAAAAGUGGCUCUGGGUCAGUAGUAUCCCGGGGGAAUUUUUUUUUCUUUUUAGGGCCACACCUACAGCAUAUGGAAGUUCCCGGGCUAGGGGUCAAAUCGGGGAUGCAGCUGCUGGCCUAUGCUACAGCCACAGCAACACCAGAUCCAAGCAGCAUCUGUGAACUAUGCUGCAUCUUAUGGCAACGCCGGAUCCUUAACCCAAUGAGCGAGGAUCCAGCAUUGCCAUGAAAUGUGGUGUUGCAGAUGCAGCUCAGAUCCAGCAUUGCUGUGGCUGUAGCAUAAGCCUCAGCUGCAGCUCCAAUUUGAUCCCUAGCCUGGAAAUUCCAUAUGCCAUGGGUGUAGCUGUAAAAAGAAAAAAAAAUGAGUAUGCUUAAAAGGGAUGACUUGUAACAUUAAGAAUGAUGGUAAGCCCAGAAACAAGACUGUGGUAAGCUGAAUAAUGUCCCCACCACAGAUGUUCACAUCCUAAACCCUGGAACCUGUUGAUAUGUCUCUUAUACAGCAAGAGGGACUCUGCAGGUAUGAUUAAAUUAAGGAUCUUGAGAUGGGGAGAUUAUCCUAGAUUAUCCUGCAAUGUCAUCAGAAAGGUACUUAAAAAAAGAAAGCAGAAGGGUCAAAGUCAGGGAAGAUUUGAAGAUGGAAGCAGAGGUCAGAGUCAUGCCACUCCUGGAAGGGGGUCACAAGCCAAGUAAUACAGGGGCGUUUAUAAGCUAAAAAAGACAAGAAACAGAUUUUCUCCUAGAGUCCCAAGAAAUGCAGCCCUACCUGUUUUAGACUUCUGACCUCCAGGACAAUAACACAUUUGUGUUGUUUUAAGCUACUAAGUUAUGGUGAUUUGUUAUGGCAUCAAUAGUGAACUAAUAAAACGGCCUAUAAGUAUAUGGGUGUGAUUAUGACAGGGGUGGCAUUACAGACCAGUGGGGACAGAAUAGACCA